UGCAUCGGCCGGGAAUCGAACCCGGGUCGCCCGCGUGACAGCCGAGCAUUCUACCACUGAAUCACCAAUGG
rnacentral:tRNA from 1 species